AGAGUUUGAUCAUGGCUCAGGACGAACGCUGGCGGCGUGCUUAACACAUGCAAGUCGAACGGUGAAGCCCUUCGGGGUGGAUCAGUGGCGAACGGGUGAGUAACACGUGAGCAAUCUGCCCUUGACUCUGGGAUAACUUCGGGAAACCGGAGCUAAUACCGGAUAUGACACAUGGCCGCAUGGUUUGUGUGUGGAAAAGAUUUAUCGGUCAAGGAUGAGCUCGCGGCCUAUCAGCUUGUUGGUGGGGUAAUGGCCUACCAAGGCGACGACGGGUAGCCGGCCUGAGAGGGCGACCGGCCACACUGGGACUGAGACACGGCCCAGACUCCUACGGGAGGCAGCAGUGGGGAAUAUUGCGCAAUGGGCGAAAGCCUGACGCAGCGACGCCGCGUGAGGGAUGAAGGCCUUCGGGUCGUAAACCUCUUUCAGCAGGGAAGAAGCGAAAGUGACGGUACCUGCAGAAGAAGCACCGGCUAACUACGUGCCAGCAGCCGCGGUAAUACGUAGGGUGCAAGCGUUGUCCGGAAUUAUUGGGCGUAAAGAGCUCGUAGGCGGUCUGUCGCGUCUGCUGUGAAAACUCAGGGCUUAACCCUGAGCUUGCAGUGGGUACGGGCAGACUAGAGUGCGGUAGGGGAGACUGGAAUUCCUGGUGUAGCGGUGAAAUGCGCAGAUAUCAGGAGGAACACCGGUGGCGAAGGCGGGUCUCUGGGCCGUAACUGACGCUGAGGAGCGAAAGCAUGGGGAGCGAACAGGAUUAGAUACCCUAGUAGUCC
rnacentral:rRNA from 1 species